rnacentral:rRNA from 1 species
UACGGAGGGUGCGAGCGUUGUUCGGAAUCACUGGGCGUAAAGCGCGUGUAGGCGGCCUUUUAAGUCUGAUGUGAAAGCCCGGGGCUUACCCCCGGAAGUGCAUUGGAAACUGGGAGGCUGGAGUACCGGAGAGGAAGGUGGAAUUCCUGGUGUAGCGGUGAAAUGCGUAGAUAUCAGGAGGAACACCGGUGGCGAAGGCGGCCUUCUGGACGGAUACUGACGCUGAGACGCGAAAGCGUGGGGAGCAAACAGG